rnacentral:lncRNA from 1 species
AAGGAGGAGAAGGAAGGCAGGCAGGAAGCACUAAGUAGAAACUUAAGGAAUGUACAGGAACUCUGUGAAGGGAAUUUUGAGAGUUACUGUAGCACAUAAAUGGAGAGUUUUAAUAAUAAGAGAGUGGGAAUGGCAACAAGUAAUACCUUGAACAGAUACGGAAUCGAAACGACAGAACUGAAAUAGUGACACAGGAAUAGAUGGAUGAAUGAGAAGAAUCAACAACUCAGAUGGCAUUUCAGACAAGGUUUACUCUGACAGUCUGACAAGAGAGGCCCUGCUUCGUUCAGGUCUACUGCUGUGUUUUGAAGUCUGCCUGAGGCUUGUGAGUUGGUGGUAAGCUGUAGGCGCCAGGGUUCCCACGGAGGAAGGUGGGCCGUAAUGGAAAUCACAGUGCAUUCCAGAAAAUAUCAGGAUUUUUCACAUUAGGUGCAUCACCCGGUAGGCAAGCCCAAGUGAUUCAUUUCCUCCUUUCAAGCCAGAGGGUUACAGGGAUUUCACACCGUGAGAUCCGGUCUCAUGCUUCCGUCCCCAGCCAUUUCAUUUUCUCUGACUCCUUCAUUUCACUCUUUCACUCUUCCUAGACCGAGAAUCUAAUUCUCUUAGGCCAACCGCCCUAACCAUCUAUUCUCGGAGGUCUUCAACAGCUGCUUUAGGUUGCCACCUCAACUCCCCAAGAAUUC